rnacentral:misc_RNA from 1 species
UACGAAGGGGACUAGCGUUGUUCGGAAUAACUGGGCGUAAAGAGUGAGUAGGCGGUUUAGUAAGUUAGAUGUGAAAUCCUUGGUCUUAAGCUAAGAACUGCAUUUAAUACUGCUAAACUUGAUGACAGAAGGGGGUAUUGGAAUUCCAAGUGUAGAAGUGAAAUUCGUAGAUAUUUGGAGGAACACCAGAAGCGAAGGCGUAUACCUGGUCUGUAGAUGACGCUGAGUCACGAAAGUAUGGGGAGCAAACAGG